GAUGAAGAACGUAGCGAAAUGCGAUAAGUAAUGUGAAUUGCAGAAUUCAGUGAAUCAUCGAAUCUUUGAACGCACAUUGCGCCCUUUGGUAUUCCGAAGGGCAUGCCUGUUCGAGCGUCAUUUCACCACUCAAGCCUGGCUUGGUAUUGGGCGCCGCGGUCGAUCCGCGCGCCUCAAAGUCUCCGGCUGAGCUGUCCGUCUCUAAGCGUUGUGAUUUCAUUAAUCGCUUCGGAGUGCGGGCGGCCGCGGCCGUUAAAUCUUUCACAAGGUUGACCUCGGAUCAGAUAGGGAUACCCGCUGAACUUAAGCAUAUCAAUAAGCGGAGGA
rnacentral:misc_RNA from 1 species